UGGGCUACUGUUGGCCGAAGAAGGAGAAGAAGAGGGGGGAGACGUGUCCGGAGGCAGGAGGAGAGGUGGAAGGUAAAAAGAGUGGAACCGAGGGUAGGAACUUUGAAUGUUGGCAGUAUGACUGGUAAGGGGAGAGAGUUAGCCAAUAUGAUGGAAAGAAGGAAGGUUCAUAUAUUGUGCAUGCAAGAGACUAAAUGGAAGGGGAGUAAGGCCAGGUGGAUUGGAGGUGGAUUCAUAUUUUUCUAUCAUGGUGUGGAUGGGAGGAGAAAAGGAGUAGGGGUUAUUCUGAAGGAACAGUAUGUCAAGAGUGUUCUGGAGGUGAAAAGUGGGUCAGACAAAGUAAUGAUUAUGAAGCUGGAAAUUGCAGGUGUGAUGAUGAAUGUUGUUAGUGCAUAUGCCCUGCAAGUUGGGUGUGUGAUGGAUGAGAAAGAUUUCUGGAGUGAGUUGGAUGAAGUGAUGGACAGUGUACUCAAAAG